CAUCUCCGGUGCCGACUUACGAAUACGUCACCGUUUUAGGCUCAGCUCCAGGCCCUGAUCCUUCUUUCUGCUCUGACAAUCAAAGAAAUAAGAAGUGCGCGCGGUGUUCUUAAUUUUCUAAAUUACAGUCAAUAGAAGUCCAAACACAACAGGACUGAUUAAUGGACUAGAGUAAUAGAGUUUAAAAGUUGUACGCAAAGUAAAUUAACGGUGAGAAGACGGUUCACAGACAAAUUAAAAUACCGGAAAAAAAGGUCCCCAGAGGACCUUUUAUUCUUGGCUCCAGAUUGUCAUCUGGAACCUAUUCCUUCGCAGGACGAGACCAAGAACAGGAACGGAAACUACCGCUAACAUACGGCUCUCUGUCCGUCGCCACGUGCCAAGACCCCCUUGGAAACAAUCCCGGCAGCCACCACGCCAUGCUUCUGCCUGCCGGCAACCCUGAAAACCGGCAACCACAAGCCGCAGGUCGAAUCUACUCCCGAGAGCAGAAAAUACCACUAUCCGGUCGAUGGACGUACGCCAUACACUCUCCGACGGCUAACCGUUGGACCAGAGUCCCAGUUAUAACCGACACACCGCCACUGCCGCCAUACACAGCCAUUGUCACCGUAAACCACCAACAUGUCACCCAGUCGACGAUCCGGCCAUCUUCCGUCUACACCCGUAAAACCAAACCGCAAGUAGCAAGUGACGUCACUUAGAAUUAGGUUAUUUAUAAGCAAUAAAUAGAGUUAAGAUGUUUAGUGAUGAA